GCCGGAUCGUCCGGAUUAAUAUGAGGGCAUCAUCACUUUAUCGUGGUUAAUUUAGAGUUACCUAAAAUAAUUCCUUAAAUAACAAUCACAGGAACCGGAGGUUGCCCUCGGUUGCAAAGACAGUGAAAUCGCGCUUAUACUUAUCAGUGCCGGUAUAUCCAUGUUUUUCUUCGCACUAUCGAGAAAAAUCGAUAU
rnacentral:ncRNA from 1 species